GAUCCCUUCAUCUUUUGGAGUAUUCAAGGUGCUUUAAGAAAAAGAAAGAGAUUAGCCGUCAAAGUUGCUUGCAGGCUAGCACCUCCAAGUCCCUGAUCUGCGUCAGUCUUCACAUAGAUUUUUUUGUAGAGGCCAGACGUCUUCGUGUAGUUGCGAGUGACCUAUAGAAUAUCCUCUCCAAGUGUUGAAUCAGAAGAAAUCAAGAU
rnacentral:lncRNA from 1 species